UAUCAGCCUUUUGGGUGUGAUUUUGUGGAGUGUGAAGAGUUAAACGCCUUCAUGCCUGCAUAUUCGUGCACUUUGGGUGUACUUGCCCGUGUGUAAGUUAACAUCAAUUUUGGUGGUCAUAAAAUGGCUGGAGGAAUGUAGCUUCGAUCUUGUAUUGAAGUGUUAUAGCCUUCGGUAGAUGUGAUGAUCGGGAUUGAGGAUUGCAACGGAUACCCUUCGGGGCUACCUGUCUGGUCUCUGAUCGUUGCUCUGGUGCCGAAAGCGUGCUUACGGUUGUCAAAGUCGAUGGUCAAUAGGUUAGAACGGGUUAAAUUCGUUAAGGAUGUUGACGUA
rnacentral:rRNA from 1 species